UACGUAGGGUGCAAGCGUUGUCCGGAAUUAUUGGGCGUAAAGAGCUCGUAGGCGGUCUGUCGCGUCUGCUGUGAAAAUCCAGGGCUCAACCCUGGACCUGCAGUGGGUACGGGCAGACUAGAGUGCGGUAGGGGAGACUGGAAUUCCUGGUGUAGCGGUGAAAUGCGCAGAUAUCGAGAGGAACACCUGCGGCGAAGGCGGGUUGCUGGGCCGACACUGACGCUGAUGCGCGAAAGCCAGGGGAGCGAACGGG
rnacentral:rRNA from 1 species